GAUGAACGCUGACAGAAUGCUUAACACAUGCAAGUCUUUGGCGAAUCUGUGCUUGCACAGGCUAGCCAAGGCGGACGGGUGAGUAACGCGUAAAGAACUUGCCCUGCAGACAGGGAUAACAGACGGAAACGACUGAUAACACCUGAUACAGUUGCCGGCACGCAUGUGCCUGGCAAUGAAAAGAGAUGCUGCAGGAGAGCUUCGCGUCCUAUUAGCUUGUUGGUGAGGUGACGGCUCACCAAGGCGAUGAUAGGUAGCCGGCCUGAGAGGGUGAACGGCCACAAGGGGACUGAGAUACGGCCCUUACUCCUACGGGAGGCAGCAGUGGGGAAUAUUGGACAAUGGGGGCAACCCUGAUCCAGCAAUUCUGUGUGCACGAAGAAGGUUUUCGGAUUGUAAAGUGCUUUCAGCAGGGAAGAAGAAAGUGACGGUACCUGCAGAAGAAGCGACGGCUAAAUACGUG
rnacentral:rRNA from 1 species